rnacentral:rRNA from 1 species
GACGAACGCUGGCGGCGUGCUUAACACAUGCAAGUCGAACGGAAAGGCCCUGCUUUUGUGGGGUGCUCGAGUGGCGAACGGGUGAGUAACACGUGAGUAACCUGCCCUUGACUUUGGGAUAACUUCAGGAAACUGGGGCUAAUACCGGAUAGGAGCUCCUGCUGCAUGGUGGGGGUUGGAAAGUUUCGGCGGUUGGGGAUGGACUCGCGGCUUAUCAGCUUGUUGGUGGGGUAGUGGCUUACCAAGGCUUUGACGGGUAGCCGGCCUGAGAGGGUGACCGGCCACAUUGGGACUGAGAUACGGCCCAGACUCCUACGGGAGGCAGCAGUGGGGAAUAUUGCAUAAUGGGCGGAAGCCUGAUGCAGCAACGCCGCGUGCGGGAUGACGGCCUUCGGGUUGUAAACCGCUUUCGCCUGUGGCGAAGCGUGAGUGACGGUAAUGGGUAAAGAAGCACCGGCUAACUACGUG